rnacentral:rRNA from 1 species
UACGUAGGGUGCAAGCGGUGUCCGGAUUUAUUGGGCGUAAAGAGCUCGUAGGCGGUUUGUCGCGUCGGAUGUGAAAACCCAGGGCUCAACCCUGGGCCUGCAUUCGAUACGGGCAGACUAGAGUAUGGCAGGGGAGACUGGAAUUCCUGGUGUAGCGGUGAAAUGCGCAGAUAUCAGGAGGAACACCGGUGGCGAAGGCGGGUCUCUGGGCCAAAACUGACGCUGAGGAGCGAAAGCGUGGGGAGCGAACAGG